UCCACAAGUUCUGGGAAGAGCCAAAAUGAGAAGCAUGUCAAAAAUACCCCCCGCGACGACUCACAGGGGAGCUGGGAAGAAAAAUGCAAACAGGUUAAAAUGUGGAAAAAUACCAAAAAAGGUCAACAUGUGGAAAAAUGAUCAAAAUUAUCAAAAUUUCCUCAUAGGGAGUGAGUUCUACAAGUCCUGGGAAGAGCCAAAAUGAGAAGAAUGUCAAAAAUACCCCCGGGACGACUCACAGGCGACCCGGGAAGAAAAAUGCAAACAGGUUAAAAUGUGGAAAAAUAAAGAAAAAGGUCAACAUUUCAUCCCAGGGACUGAGUUUUACAAGUCCUGGGAAGAGCCAAAAUGAGAAGCAUGUCAAAAAUUCCCCUGGGAUGACUCCCAGGGGAGCCGGGAAGAAAAAUGCAAACAGGUUAAAAUGUGGAAAAAUACCAAAAAAGGUCAAAAUGUGGAAAAAUGUCAUAAAUCCAGCUUCCUCUAAAGCUCCUGGCGGCAUCUUCCAGCAGCACCACUCCACCAUCAGUCAGAUAAAUGAAAUCAAGUGGCGCGUAAUUGAAAUCGACGGCGCUGACAAAACCGAAGAGCGUGAGUGCGGACGUGGGAGUGAUUGGGAGGAAAAGCUCUUUUGUUCCUCACUUUCUCCUUUCUGUGGUUUGUUUUGUUGCCUGGACAGGAGCUGGGCAGCACCGACGGUCCCCCCCGGAACUGGAAGGGCAUCGGGAUCGCCGUGAUGGUGAUCCUGGCCGUCAUGUCUUUGGUCAUCCUCUCCGUCGUCAUGCUCACCCCUGAUGAAUCUCUCUUGUUGCGCCACUCCCUUUUCACCGUGGACGACCUGGAGAGCGAGGAGUUCAAAGUUCACGACCCCAGCGUGGCCUGGCUGAGCGAUAACGAGGUGGCUCUCCGCACCCGAGAGGGUCACAUCCUGACCUUUGACUUCAACAACAACCUGACCACCAUCCUGCUGGACAACACCUCACUGGAACUGAGCGCCACCAGAUUCCAAGUGUCUGCGGACAAGAGCGCCGUGCUCCUGGCCUACGACAUUCGAGCGGUGUUCUCUCAGUCCUUCACAGCGUCCUAUGCCACCUACAGUGUGGCCACCGGGGACCUGCUGGAGCUGAGGCCACCUCAGAAGGAGGAGGCGGGGUUGCAGUACGCCGCCUGGGGGCCUCAGGGGAGCCAGCUGGUGCUCUUCUCUGAGGGGGACAUCUUCUACCAGCCCAGCGUGAGCAGCCAGGCUCUGCGUCUCACGUCCACCGGAGAUCCUCACCGUCACCGUGUGGUCAACGGCCUCUCGGACUGGACUUACGAAGAGGAAGUGCUGCUGUCUUAUGUGGCCCACUGGUGGUCGGCGGACGGCGCCCGGCUGGCAUACCUCAGCAUCAACAACUCAGCCACACCUCUUGUGGAGAUACCCAAGUUCCUGGGUGGGCUGUACCCCUCCAACGCCAUCUUCCCCUACCCCAAGGCUGGCUCCAACAUCCCGUCUGUCAGCUUGCUGGUGGUAAACCUGUACGGUCCCGCCCACACGGUGGAGAUGACGCCCCCGGACUCUGUCAGGACCAGCAGAGAAGGCUACAUCUCCAUGGUGACGUGGACCAGCAGCACCCGCCUGGCGGUCCGCUGGCUCAACCGGGCCCAGAACCAGUCGGUGCUGUGCGUGUGCGAGGCCACCACGGGGGCGUGCUCAGAGAAGCACAAAGUGUCCCUGGGUAAGAUGCCCAGACCGUCGCAGGACGUGCCUCUGUUCUCGGGAGACGGCGCCACGUUCUACGCCGUCCUUCCCGCCAAGCAGGGCGCCCGAGGAGAGUUCAACCACGUCGCCGCUCUCCCGGCCCGGCCCACCAACCCUUCCAUCCCUGCUCGCUUCUUGACGUCGGGCAGUUGGGACGUCACCUCGCUCUGCGCCCUGGACGACAAGGCCGGAAAAAUCUAUUUCUUGAGUACAGAGGAAUCCAAACAAAGACGGCACCUUUACAGCGUGGACGUGGAUGGUGCGUUCGAGCGCCAGUGCAUCACCUGUCACCUCCUGGACGGGUGCCACUUCUUCGACGCGCUUUUCAGCCCCAACCGCACGCACGUCGCCCUCCGAUGCCUGGGCCCGGGGAUCCCCAAAGUGACGGUCCACAGCAUCCAGGACCCCUACAGAUACGUGGUCCUGGAGGACAACAGCCCCCUGUCCAAAGCCCUGGAGGACAAACAUCUCCCCGAAACUCUGUUCAGUACAUUUUCAACUGACAGCCACGACGUGCACCUGAAGCUAUCUUUGCCUCGAGGUUACGAGGCCAACUUGCAUCCCUUGCUGGUCAUUGUAGACGGCCUUCCUGGUCGCGAGUCCGUGACAGAGGAGUUCUCUCUGGGCUGGCCUCAGGUCCUCUCCGGCGCCCGCGGCGUGGCCUUGGCCUGGGUGGACAGCAGGAGCGGGGCGGGGCGCGGCCAGAAGGUCGCCACCGCCGCCAGUAACCUCGGCCUGCUUCACGUCAGAGAUCACUUGGAAGUAGUGGAGUUCUUGAUGAAGCUGCCCUACAUUGAUGACCGCCGCAUGGCCCUCUAUGGCAAGGCCUUUGGUGGAUACCUAACUCUGAAAAUGCUAACAGCAACAGAGAAGCUCUUCCAGUGCGCAGCUGCUGUGGCCCCAAUAACAGACUUCAGACUUUAUAACGCUGCGUUCUCUGAGCGGUAUCUCGGCCUCCCGACAAAGGAGGAGCAUGUUUACUCGGUAAGAUGAAAUACUGACCAGUUAGUCCUCUCUGUUGAGUUCUUUCCAUUCUCUCUCUGCAGACCGCUUCUCUGCUGGAGGACGUCAACAAACUGAAAGACGAGAACUUUCUUAUCUUGCACGGAACCGCAGACGCCAAGGUACACUUCCAACACAGCGCCGAGCUCCUGAGCCGUCUGGUGAGGGUGGAGGCCAACUACUCCCUGCAGCUGUACCCGGACGAGGGCCACACGCUGAGGGAAGCGCGAAGCGUCCAGCACUUCCAACGCACGGUACUCAAC